GAAAUUACCUCCUUUGGGAAAGUUGCCAUUCCUUGAAGAACUUGAUUUGGUGGGAAAUUAUCGCCUGAAAAAGUUGGGCAUUGAGUUUUUGGGAAUAGAAACUUCAAAUCAACAUGAGAUUUCAUCAUCAGCCGUUGCCUUCCCCAAAUUAACAAGACUUUUGUUAAGACAGUUGGAGGAGUGGGAAGAGUGGGAUGAUGGAAUGAACACAAAUGGAGAAGAAGAUAUUGCCAAUGUAACGAUCCUGCCAUGCCUUCGUUCUUUCAAUAUUUUCGAAUGCCCAAAGUUGAAGCUGGAGACACUACCAUAUUACCUUGUCCGGAAGUUACCUGGAUUUGAAGACUGCUCAACGAAAGAGGAAACGAUGGCAAGGGCAAGAGCGCAAUGGCAAAAGGUAAUUUCGUCGCUUCACCUUGUGUCUUAUGUUUCUUCAUCCUUAUCUUCUUAUUUCAUCGGCCUGUCACAAUGAUAAUUAGAUAUCUUGAAAUGAAAUGUCUUUUCUUUAUUUGUAGGCUGAAUGGAAUCAAAAGAUUUGCGUCAUCAUGUGAAAAUCUAUUCAGUAGGGUAUGUGUGUAUAUAUUAUGCUGAUCAAAAUCACUUUAUUCAGUUGGACUAGAAAUAAUGAAAUAGUGCUAUGUUUUGCAGGAAUCUUUCU
rnacentral:misc_RNA from 1 species